rnacentral:rRNA from 1 species
AUGAACGCUGGCGGCGUGCCUAAUACCUGCAAGUCGAGCGAACGGACGAGAAGCUUGCUUCUCUGAUGUUAGCGGCGGACGGGUGAGUAACACGUGGAUAACCUACCUAUAAGACUGGGAUAACUUCGGGAAACCGUAGCUAAUACCGGAUAAUAUUUUGAACCGCAUGGUUCAAAAGUGAAGGACGGUCUUGCUGUCACUUAUAGAUGGAUCCGCGCUGCAUUAGCUAGUUGGUAAGGUAACGGCUUACCAAGGCAACGAUGCAUAGCCGACCUGAGAGGGUGAUCGGCCACACUGGAACUGAGACACGGUCCAGACUCCUACGGGAGGCAGCAGUAGGGAAUCUUCCGCAAUGGGCGAAAGCCUGACGGAGCAACGCCGCGUGAGUGAUGAAGGUCUUCGGAUCGUAAAACUCUGUUAUUAGGGAAGAACAUAUGUGUAAGUAACUGUGCACAUCUUGACGGUACCUAAUCAGAAAGCCACGGCUAACUACGUG